rnacentral:lncRNA from 1 species
UUUGAAAGUUUUUGGUGAAAGUCGCAUAUUUUUUGGAUCAACAAUGAAAUUAAUAUGAACUAAUGAAAAAUAGAGCAAUUGAAAGGAAUUUCAGAAAUUCAAAAAUACAUGGACCAUCUGAUCUCCCUCAUUAAUUGAGUUGGCAUAUCAGAUGGACUAGAAAGUGCGUUCAACAAAGGUCGAAGUCAACUGAGAUACA